AAAUCUCACAAUUUUCAAUUUUUUGUUGAAAAUAGUGGACUUGGGUUUGCGACUUUUUACAAGUUGCUAACCUGAAAUGAAUUUCAUGAAGCUCAAAUGCUUUAAAUCUUUGCUUAAUAGUUUUGCUUUGUCAAAUCUUUUGCAUCGACCUUAAAAGCGAAAGUGAAUUGAUUUUACGAAAAUUAAAAUCUCAUU
rnacentral:misc_RNA from 1 species